UAGUGCAAAUUUUUGUGAAUUUAAAUUUUGUUAUUGAUAUUUAGUUGAGUGAAGAAGAUGAAUUGUUUAUAAUUUGAGAAGGCCUAAGGAGUAGAGUAUGUGAUUACAUAGGCAUUGCCUAAAGUGGCAAGUUUAGGUUUCAGCUUUCGCUGUAGUGCCAGCUUGAUUUUUAAUAUGUGGUUUUGUCUUGUUACAGGAAAAAAAAAAUUUAACAAUCCAGAAUUAGGUAAAAAAAUACACUUGGCUUUUGGUACACUUUGUUCUGUCAUUUUAAUCUCUUGUUUAUCUGUUAAUGAAUAUAAUUAUCUAAGAGGUAUAUCUUCAAUGAUAGUUUUAUGUCAACUUUUAUGUGAACUUAACUUAGUUGCAAACUUAUUAGUGUUUCAAACUUUUUAUAGCGUUUUACGAAUUGAUUGGGACUGAACCACACACACACACACACACACACACACAUAUAUAUAUAUAUGUACAUAAGUAUGAGAUUAAGACACUGGUGAAUAGCUAUUUGCCUAUCAAAGAUGCUUAUGUUUGACCUGGGAAUGAUCCGCUGGACUAGGAAGCACACUUUCUGCUGGAGAAAUUUCUAAGACAUAGAAGGAAGGACACGGUUUGUGUGUCAUUGUAGAGGAAAGAUGACUACCUUUUUUUCAGUUCUAGGACACAAUUUUUUGUGUCCUUUGAGGAAAAAGAGGCCACAUUUUUCUUGAUACGAGAACAUGUUUUUUUGUGUCCUCUAAUAGAUGUGGUAAUUUGGUCGAUAUGAAUGUUGAGGACUUUAUCUUGGAUGAGCUCGUAGAGUAUAUCAUUGAUAGGUUAGAUGAAAGCUCAAUGCUAGCUAUAAGUUGAGUGACGAGAAUGAAAAGCUCAGAGAGAAGGAAAGGACUUGGUAAUUGAAACAGAAGCAUAUUGAAAGCUAGGAAACCAAAAGCAGACAUAUUCUAACGCUGAACUAGCUUAAAUUCCUCUGUUGUAGUUACGUAUUUUCAAAUAUGUUUAGAGUUUAGGGAUAUGGGUUUAAUUGAUUGAUGUAAUGAGUUCUACUAAUACAUUUCCAAUUGUUACUUCGUAAAUGAAAUUAAUUAUAAUGAGGGUAAUAUGAGUAUGACAUUUGAGCAAAAAGUUUUUUUUUUUUGUUUGAACAGACUACAUUUACGGCAUGCAGUGUGUGCCUUAACUAAGAGUUUAGCCACUCUUUUACGGCAUGAUGUGUAC